UCGAGCGGUAGAGAGAAGCUUGCUUCUCUUGAGAGCGGCGGACGGGUGAGUAAUGCCUAGGAAUCUGCCUAGUGGUGGGGGAUAACGUUCGGAAACGGACGCUAAUACCGCAUACGUCCUACGGGAGAAAGCGGGGGAUCUUCGGACCUCGCGCCAUUAGAUGAGCCUAGGUCGGAUUAGCUAGUUGGUGAGGUAAUGGCUCACCAAGGCGACGAUCCGUAACUGGUCUGAGAGGAUGAUCAGUCACACUGGAACUGAGACACGGUCCAGACUCCUACGGGAGGCAGCAGUGGGGAAUAUUGGACAAUGGGCGAAAGCCUGAUCCAGCCAUGCCGCGUGUGUGAAGAAGGUCUUCGGAUUGUAAAGCACUUUAAGUUGGGAGGAAGGGCAGUAACCUAAUACGUUAUUGUUUUGACGUUACCGACAGAAUAAGCACCGGCUAACUUCGUGCCAGCAGCCGCGGUAAUACGAAGGGUGCAAGCGUUAAUCGGAAUUACUGGGCGUAAAGCGCGCGUAGGUGGUUCAGUAAGUUGGAAGUGAAAUCCCCGGGCUCAACCUGGGAACUGCUUUCAAAACUGCUGAGCUAGAGUACGGUAGAGGGUGGUGGAAUUUCCUGUGUAGCGGUGAAAUGCGUAGAUAUAGGAAGGAACACCAGUGGCGAAGGCGACCACCUGGACUGAUACUGACACUGAGGUGCGAAAGCGUGGGGAGCAAACAGGAUUAGAUACCCUGGUAGUCCACGCCGUAAACGAUGUCAACUAGCCGUUGGGAGUCUUGAACUCUUAGUGGCGCAGCUAACGCAUUAAGUUGACCGCCUGG
rnacentral:rRNA from 1 species